CUGCAAAUCUUGGUAGCAAUUUCAGCCUACUGCAGAAUAUUGCUUUUUUCUCUCUUAGCUGGAGGGGAAAAGCUGGGAACAUAUUACUGCUGCACCUGGCCACUUCCUAAUCACACCCUAAGUUACAACCCCCCAUG